rnacentral:rRNA from 1 species
GAUGAACGCUGGCGGCGUGCCUAAUACAUGCAAGUCGAGCGAACGGAUGAGAAGCUUGCUUCUCUGAUGUUAGCGGCGGACGGGUGAGUAACACGUGGAUAACCUACCUAUAAGACUGGGAUAACUUCGGGAAACCGGAGCUAAUACCGGAUAAUAUUUUGAACCGCAUGGUUCAAAAGUGAAAGACGGUCUUGCUGUCACUUAUAGAUGGAUCCGCGCUGCAUUAGCUAGUUGGUAAGGUAACGGCUUACCAAGGCAACGAUGCAUAGCCGACCUGGGAGGGUGAUCGGCCACACUGGAACUGAGACACGGUCCAGACUCCUACGGGAGGCAGCAGUAGGGAAUCUUCCGCAAUGGGCGAAAGCCUGACGGAGCAACGCCGCGUGAGUGAUGAAGGUCUUCGGAUCGUAAAACUCUGUUAUUAGGGAAGAACAUAUGUGUAAGUAACUGUGCACAUCUUGACGGUACCUAAUCAGAAAGCCACGGCUAACUACGUG